AGAGGUAGCUUGCUACUGAUCUUAGCGGCGGACGGGUGAGUAAUGCUUAGGAAUCUGCCUAUUAGUGGGGGACAACAUUUCGAAAGGAAUGCUAAUACCGCAUACGUCCUACGGGAGAAAGCAGGGGAUCUUCGGACCUUGCGCUAAUAGAUGAGCCUAAGUCGGAUUAGCUAGUUGGUGGGGUAAAGGCCUACCAAGGCGACGAUCUGUAGCGGGUCUGAGAGGAUGAUCCGCCACACUGGGACUGAGACACGGCCCAGACUCCUACGGGAGGCAGCAGUGGGGAAUAUUGGACAAUGGGCGCAAGCCUGAUCCAGCCAUGCCGCGUGUGUGAAGAAGGCCUUAUGGUUGUAAAGCACUUUAAGCGAGGAGGAGGCUACUUUAGUUAAUACCUAGAGAUAGUGGACGUUACUCGCAGAAUAAGCACCGGCUAACUCUGUGCCAGCAGCCGCGGUAAUACAGAGGGUGCAAGCGUUAAUCGGAUUUACUGGGCGUAAAGCGCGCGUAGGCGGCUAAUUAAGUCAAAUGUGAAAUCCCCGAGCUUAACUUGGGAAUUGCAUUCGAUACUGGUUAGCUAGAGUGUGGGAGAGGAUGGUAGAAUUCCAGGUGUAGCGGUGAAAUGCGUAGAGAUCUGGAGGAAUACCGAUGGCGAAGGCAGCCAUCUGGCCUAACACUGACGCUGAGGUGCGAAAGCAUGGGGGGCAAACAGGAUUAGAUACCCUGGUAGUCCAUGCCGUAAACNNGUCUAC
rnacentral:rRNA from 1 species